rnacentral:rRNA from 1 species
GACGAACGCUGGCGGCGUGCUUAACACAUGCAAGUCGAACGAAGUGGCGAACGGGUGAGUAACGCGUAAUCAACCUGCCCUUCAGAGGGGGACAACAGUUGGAAACGACUGCUAAUACCGCAUACUUAAGGAGUGGUUGGCGUCUGAUUAGCUAGGUGGGGGGGUGACGGCCCACCAAGGCGAAGGUCAGUAGGCGGUCGUGGGGGGUGAACGUCCCACUUGGGAAUGAGGACAGGCCCAGGCUCCUACGGGAGGCAGCAGGUGGGAAUCUUCCGCAAUGGAGGAAAGGCUGACGGAGCAACGCCGCGUGGGUGAUGGCGGCCUUCGGGUUGUAAAGCUCUGUUAAUCGGGGCGCGGUACCGGAAUAGAAAGCCACGGCUAACUACGUGCCAGCAGCCGCGGUAAUAC